rnacentral:misc_RNA from 1 species
UCGCAGCUUACGCUGGCAGUCUUGUUAGAGUCCUCAGCUCUACCUGUUAGUAACUAACAAUGUGGGUUGCGCUCGUUAUGGCACUUAAGCCGACACCUCACGGCACGAGCUGACGACAACCAUGCAGCACCUACGCAGACGCCAUUGCUGGAAGCCGAGUUUCUUCGGCGGUCGUCUGCAUUUCAAGCCCGGGUAAGGUUCCUCGCGUAUCAUCGAAUUAAACCACAUGUUCCUCCGCUUGUGCGGGCCCCCGUCAAUUCCUUUGAGUUUCACCGUUGCCGGCGUACUCCCCAGGUGGAUUACUUAUCGCUUUCGCUUGGUCACUUGCGGUAUAUCGCAAACAACUAGUAAUCAUCGUUUACUGCGUGGACUAC